AGAAGAUUCAAACUCCUUCCUUGGCAUCUAGCACUACUUAGUUGUAACUGAGAUGGAGCCCGUUCGUUGUAGAAGUUUGUUUGGAAUCCAAUUUUGUUGUAGAAGUUCGGACGGAGUCCGGUUCUUGUAGGAGUCCGGAAGGAGGCCGCUUACUGUAGAAGCUCGGAUGGAGACCGAUUGCCGUAGAAGUCCGGAUGGAGAUCGCUUAUUGUAGAAGCUCAGAUGGAGAUCGAUUGUCGUGGAAGUCCGGAUGGAGUCCUCUUGCAAUAGAAGUUCGGACGGAAUUCGCUUACUGUAGAAGUUCGGGUAAAAUUCGGAAGGCAGUCGACCACUGUAGAAACUUGGAUGGG
rnacentral:lncRNA from 1 species